GCCACCCGAAAGGGCUGGGCGGCCGGCGCGCGGUGACCGCGCGGCGUGAUGCGCUGGGCUCUGUCGCGCUGCAAGCUCUCUGCCCGCCGCCAACCUUGUGACGCCGCAGGACGCUGAAAGGGACUGUGUAGGUGAAUAAGAGCCCUGGCGUGUCGAUGCCACAACACUGUCUCUGGAUCUAAGGAAACACGUGAAACGUAUGGUUUGAAACAUCCUGGGUCACCCUGGAUCUCAAUAGCAGAAAGUUGCUCAAGGAGGAUUUAGGGAAAGAGGAAGAGAGGCCUUCUGUUUCAACAGCUGUACAGGCUACUUAGUAUCUGUUACCUUGUUUAGGCCCCCAGGCACUUCACCAUCAUCUCCAGUUUGUAAAUGCAGAACCUGAGAUUUACAUAAAUGAAGCGACCUGCCCCAAACAAUACAGUGUUCUGCAGAACAAAAUUUCCUCCAUAUAAAAUGUACCUACCAACUUUAUAAAAUAGAUCUGAGAAGUGAAAGAAGUGGGAAUAAGAAUCAAGGAAGUGGAAGAUUUUUAGCCUCCUCCAAUUUCCAACUGGCAGAAUGUGUGGAUGUUAAUCAACCUCUCAAAGUUGAGAUGAAAUUGAGAGACUUUCACAAUCUGCCCUACCGAAGCCGUAAAUCGAGUUCUAAGUCACUUGAGGGCAGAUUAUUAGGAUGGGCUACGGGUACCUAAUUUUCUUUUUGUUUUACGUCAAACAUCAAUUGGACAAAAAGUAACGUUUGAAUGUUAUACUGCCUCUAGAGAAACGCAAAACAAUUCACUGUAUCACCAAAGUAGUUUUCGAGCAUUUGACACUAAUUUUUGUUAGCCAAUUCUAAAAAACCAGACGUUUCAGAUCAGAGUUUCAACAGUUACAGAAAUUUGUUGUUGCCUUGUCUUAGGACAUGAACAGCCACCAACAGGCACAUGUCAACACACAUCUAGCACGAGAGGGGUCACAAUGAAAGUUUAGUCGUUAUUACCUCUGGGUUUUUCUCCUUGCUUAUUUGUAUUUCCAAAAUGUGCUACAAGGAGUGUACUUCUUUCAUAAUAAUUAUUUCUGCUCAUCAUUCUCCAGGUUGAAAAAAAAGUUUAUGUUUUCCUAUCCAUCCGUUAUGACUACAUCCCACCAUCCGUUAUGGCUAGCAAUAUUGUAUUCGCAUGACACAAAAAACCAAGUGAAAAAUUCAGUGGAGAAAGAAAGAAACUGAUUCUAUAGUCCAAAACCAACAUCAACUGUUUGAACUGGUGCCACUGGCAUUACCUGUGUUUUAAGCCUAUUUUUUCGGCACACGAACUUGGUAAAUGUGGGCCAGGUUUGUUUGAAGUUGGAAUUACGUUGGAAAAUCCAGUGGUGGUAUUUGCGGAACUUAGAAUACAGACAGGCGUUCCAUCAACUCUCGUUGCGUUGUACGUGCUGUCCCAACUCAGCUACUGGUUACUGAGGCUUUGGUUCUCUAAAGGGAUUACACCUGCUGGAUUCAUUCAGGGCCAAGAAACAGCCUAACCUGAGGAUGUCCUGGUCACCUAAAAACAAACCCCGUAUACAGUGUGUAUGCUUGCUUCUGAAUUCCACUGCACAGAAGACAGGCAAAGCAGUCUUCCUUGGGGCUCUGAAGACCAUUGACCCGGGGCAGAAACCACAGCUUCUGUGGCUACGUGGCCAUUGCGGCCGCAGGGAGAGCCGCCGGGAGCACGUUUCUGAGCCGCGCGCUGUCAGUCCAGUCGGUACCUUGGGAAAGGGCCCUCCAGGGACUGGCUGGGAGGGGAGGCAAUCAGGGCAGCGCGACUUUCCCCUGCAGCCAUUCCGCUAUGGAAAUGGAAGACAACCCCGGGAUUUGCCCAAGCGUUCUAGGCUGGAGAUAAUCCCCACUUUGGGGUAUUGCUGCGGUCUCAACGACAACAACAACAACAAAAAAAAAAAAAAAAAAAAAAAAAAAGAAAGAAAGAAAGAAAGAAGGAAAGAAAAAAAGGAACGAGGAAACAUAAAAACGAAUGUUGCAUUCUAAUGUACUGAAGUGAUGUAGGAAAGCAACAGCACUGAAAGCCAGCAGAAGCCCACACAGGGUUUAUUUCCAUCAGACGUCCAAUGAGAAUUCACGAAUAAAUGAGGUCGGCCUGCUUCCGAAACUUGUAGCAAACAAUGGCUCCAUGGGUAAAGCAUAAGGCAAAGCCGCUUCAUUACAUCUACUUGGUAACGCUCAGCCAGAGAAAUGUUUCAUGAGUCAGUGGAUUUCAGCAGAUAUAUUCUUGCAAUGCUGGACGUCAAAAAUAUACAGGGCAGCCAGAUGCGGCUUUCCGAUUAGUUACCUG